CGAACGCUGGCGGCAGGCCUAAUACAUGCAAGUCGAACGGCUCUUCGGAGCAGUGGCGGACGGGUGAGUAACGCGUGGAAUGUGCCCUUUGGUACGGAACAACACAGGGAAACUUGUGCUAAUACCGUAUGUGCCCUUCGGGGGAAAGAUUUAUAGCCAUUGGAGCAGCCCGCGGUGGAUUAGGUAGUUGGUGAGGUAAAGGAACACCAAGACUACGAUCUAUAGUUGGUCUGAGAGGAUGAUCAGCCACACUGGGACUGAGACACGGCCCAGACUCCUACGGGAGGCAGCAGUAGGGAAUCUUGCGCAAUGGGCGAAAGCCUGACGCAGCCAUGCCGCGUGAAUGAUGAAGGUCUUAGGAUUGUAAAAUUCUUUCACCGGGGAAGAUAAUGACGGUACCCGGAGAAGAAGCCCCGGCUAACUUCGUGCCAGCCGCCGCAGUAAUAC
rnacentral:rRNA from 1 species